rnacentral:rRNA from 1 species
UACGUAGGGACCGAGCGUUUGUCCGGAAUCAUUGGGCGUAAAGAGCGCGCAGGCGGUCGAUCAAGUCGCGUGUGAAAGCCCCCGGCUCAACUGGGGAGGGUCACGCGAUACUGAUCGACUCGAAGGCAGGAGAGGGUAGUGGAAUUCCCGGUGUAGUGGUGAAAUGCGUAGAUAUCGGGAGGAACACCGGUGGCGAAGGCGGCAUUCUGGACCGAAACUGACGCUGAGGCGCGAAAGCCAGGGGAGCAAACGGG